AGCGAACGUUAGCGGCGGGCCUAACACAUGCAAGUCGAGCGAGAAAGUGGCUUCGGCCAUCAGUAAAGCGGCGGACGGGUGAGUAACACGUAGGUAAUCUUCCCUUGAGCGGGGGACAACGUUUCGAAGGAACGCUAAUACCGCAUAAGUUUUCUUGAGCCUCCGGGUUUGGGAAGGAAAGCCAGGUCGCAAGAUCCGGCACUCGAGGAGGAGCCUGCGUCGCAUCAGCUAGUUGGUGGGGAAUGGCCUACCAAGGCGAAGACGCGUAGCUGGUCUGAGAGGAUGAUCAGCCACACUGGGACUGAGACACGGCCCAGACUCCUACGGGAGGCAGCAGUGGGGAAUAUUGGACAAUGGGCGCAAGCCUGAUCCAGCCACGCCGCGUGAGUGAUGAAGGCC
rnacentral:rRNA from 1 species